GGUGAACGCUGGCGGCGUGCUUAACACAUGCAAGUCGAACGGAAAGGCCCAAGCUUGCUUGGGUACUCGAGUGGCGAACGGGUGGGUAACACGUGGGUGAUCUGCCCUGCACUUCGGGAUAAGCCUGGGAAACUGGGUCUAAUACCGGAUAGGACCACUUCUUGGAUGUUGUGGUGGAAAGUUUUUUCGGUGUGGGAUGAGCUCGCGGCCUAUCAGCUUGUUGGUGGGGUAAUGGCCUACCAAGGCGUCGACGGGUAGCCGGCCUGAGAGGGUGUACGGCCACAUUGGGACUGAGAUACGGCCCAGACUCCUACGGGAGGCAGCAGUGGGGAAUAUUGCACAAUGGGCGCAAGUCUGAUGCAGCGACGCCGCGUGGGGGAUGACGGCCUUCGGGUUGUAAACUCCUUUCGCUAGGGACGAAGCUUAUUUUGUGACGGUACCUGGAGAAGAAGCACCGGCUAACUACGUGCCAGCCGCCGCUGUAA
rnacentral:rRNA from 1 species